rnacentral:lncRNA from 1 species
AAAAUGGUUAUCAUUCAUUAUAAAUUAAGCAAUAAAUUUGAGUAAGUUCCUGAGUAAAUUACAACAAUCCAGCAGUAGCAAACAAAUUCUAAGAACUUGUAAGCAAUUAAUCAACUAAAAGCAAUUCCAAUACUGCAUAAAUGGCAGAUUUUGCAUCCUUAGUCAAAUGUUUGAUCCACCAUGAGUACAUAAACUGCAUCUUCAAUAAACUAAUUUCAAAGUUCUUAAUCGGCUUCUCGGUUUGUCGAUUUUCGAGUGACUUCAUGAGCUCAUUUAUCGACAUUAAUGCUUUGUUGCGAGUUAUGUGUUUGAAAAGGGCCAAAGCCGAGUGGUUGUUGUGCCUGAAACAAAAACAAUGAAAUGAGCCACACCAAAAAUACUUAGUGUUCUACUCUAAAUAUGGUGAAACAUCAACUAAAGUCCUAAAAAAGUAACAUAUUUCAGUGAAAUGCAAGAAGAUAUCAUAAAUCGACACUAAUGUCGUUAUAAAAAAGACAUUAUCAAUAGUAAGCUAGUCAUACUCAUUGAUGGGGAUCCACCAAAAUUUUGAUGACUUGAACUUGCUGAAAAAUCCUGCUAUCAAUAAAUAAAAUAUAUUAGAGCUACAAAUUGAUCAAAAAUAAGAUCAAACAAUCUGCUAUCAAAAUUAAGGAAACCAUUAUAUUUGAGGUAAGAGAUACACCACUCAGCCUCAAUAUUACUAGCACACCAUUAUAUUCCAUUCUUAUAAGUUACAAAACAACCAAUCAAGAAACUACAAAUUAGGAGUAAAACAGAGAAGUGUAUCACAGGACACUACCAAGAAUCUUUAAAACAUAACAAAAUAGGUAGAAUAGCAAAAUGAUAUUGUUGUACAGAGGACAUGGAGCAGAUCAUCAACGCCCAAGACCAACACCCACCACGCGCCGCCGCCGCCACAGACCAUACCUCCGCCUCGCUGGAGUCCGUUCAAGAGGAAUCCUGAUUGAUCACUAUUUCUACACUAGUCUUCUUUUGCCUACCAUCUGUUUGAUCUAUUGCCUCACUGAGUCAAGACCCUCACUUUUGUUUCUUUCAUUCUUUUUUUAUUUUCAUUUUACUCCCCUUACUUAUAAUUCAGAAUUUUGAACAUUAGCAUUAAACAAAGACGAAAGAAAGAACAAAAAAUCAAUCUUUACUGCUAUCCAAACAUUCAAAUUAAUCUCACAAAUAUUAUUAAUUUAAGCAAUGAUUAAUUGAACAUGGUAUAUAUCAGUUUUCACUCAAUCAAGAAUCACAUGAUUAACAUAAAAAUACAUAGAAUCACAUGAUUAACACAAAAAUACAUAGAAAAAGGGGCCAAAAGAAAUAGUUUCUGCACACACUUAAGAACUCACAGAAAACUAAAAAAUAAAAGAAAAUACUCACCGUCGACUUCAAGGUAAAAGAAGCAAAAUCAAGAAGUUCGAUUGCGCCGACGACGGACGUCGUGAUGUUCACCACAAUAAGUUGGUUCUUGUGGCAAAAUAAAAGCACCAAAAAUUGAGUUUGAAAGUUUGGGAAGAAGAAGAAGACAAGAUUGACGGAAGAGUAAGAUUGGUGAUGGAGAACCCUAGCCAAAUCCUGUGAUGCGAACGAAAUCCCCAUUUUUUGGUGGAGAUCGAAAAUUUCCGAAGAAGAAGGGAGAGUCUUUCAUCUACAGAAGGAAAGUAGAAGAAAAAAUUUCACGGCUACAACAAGCCGAGCCGAUAUUGGGCGAAUUUAAUCAAUUAAGAAGGGAUUAUGCUAAUAAGUUCAAAACGCUGUAGUUUUAUGGGUGGGACAGGGAGUGGGACAGGGCAAUGGGGACAGAGGAUCCGAACUGA